rnacentral:rRNA from 1 species
GAUGAACGCUAGCGGCAGGCUUAAUACAUGCAAGUCGUGGGGCAGCGCAGGUAGCAAUACUGGGCGGCGACCGGCAAACGGGUGCGGAACACGUACACAACCUUCCUACAAGUGGGGAAUAGCCCAGAGAAAUUUGGAUUAAUACCCCGUAACAUAACGAUGUGGCAUCACAUUGUUAUUAUAGCUUCGGCGCUUGUUGAUGGGUGUGCGGCUGAUUAGAUAGUUGGCGGGGUAACGGCCCACCAAGUCUACGAUCAGUAGCUGAUGUGAGAGCAUGAUCAGCCACACGGGCACUGAGACACGGGCCCGACUCCUACGGGAGGCAGCAGUAAGGAAUAUUGGUCAAUGGACGAAAGUCUGAACCAGCCAUGCCGCGUGAAGGAUUAAGGUCCUCUGGAUUGUAAACUUCUUUUAUCUGGGACGAAAAAAGGCGAUUCUUCGUCACUUGACGGUACCAGAUGAAUAAGCACCGGCUAACUCCGUGCCAGCCGCCGCCGUAA